rnacentral:rRNA from 1 species
UGGGGAAUAUUGGACAAUGGGCGCAAGCCUGAUCCAGCCAUACCGCGUGGGUGAAGAAGGCCUUCGGGUUGUAAAGCCCUUUUGUUGGGAAAGAAAUCCAGCUGGUUAAUACCCGGUUGGGAUGACGGUACCCAAAGAAUAAGCACCGGGCUAACUUCGUGCCAGCAGCCGCGGUAAUACGAAGGGUGCAAGCGUUACUCGGAAUUACUGGGCGUAAAGCGUGCGUAGGUGGUCGUUUAAGUCUGUUGUGAAAGCCCUGGGCUCAACCUGGGAACUGCAGUGGAAACUGGACGACUAGAGUGUGGUAGAGGGUAGCGGAAUUCCUGGUGUAGCAGUGAAAUGCGUAGAGAUCAGGAGGAACAUCCAUGGCGAAGGCAGCUACCUGGACCAACACUGACACUGAGGCACGAAAGCGUGGGGAGCAAACAGGAUUAGAUACCCUGGUAGUCCACGCCCUAAACGAUGCGAACUGGAUGUUGGGUGCAAUUUUGGCACGCAGUAUCGAAGCUAACGCGUUAAG